rnacentral:rRNA from 1 species
UACGUAGGGUGCGAGCGUUAAUCGGAAUUACUGGGCGUAAAGCGCACGUAGGCGGUGACGUAAGUCGGGUGUGAAAUCCCUCGGCCUAACCGAGGAACUGCGCCCGAUACUGCGUUGCUUGAGGACCAGAGGGGUGCAUGGAAUUUCCGGUGGAGCGGUGAAAUGCGUUGAUAUCGGAAGGAACUCCGGCGGCGAAAGCGAUGCACUGGCUGGUUUCUGACGCUGAGGUGCGAAAGCCAGGGGAGCAAACGGG